UACGUAGGGGGCGAGCGUUGUCCGGAUUCAUUGGGCGUAAAGAGCUCGUAGGCGGCUUGGCAAGUCGGAUGUGAAAACUCCAGGCUCAACCUGGAGCCGCCAUUCGAUACUGCUAUGGCUAGAGUCCGGUAGGGGAGUGUGGAAUUCCCGGUGUAGCGGUGAAAUGCGCAGAUAUCGGGAGGAACACCGAUGGCGAAGGCAGCACUCUGGGCCGGCACUGACGCUGAGGAGCGAAAGCGUGGGGAGCGAACAGG
rnacentral:rRNA from 2 species